rnacentral:lncRNA from 1 species
AGAACAGUCACUUUAAGUUUUAUUGACAGAGUGAAUGUCUGAAUAGCAUUUACCAUUGUUAAUUACAGUUUAGGUUUAUACAGCUGGUCGUCCACCCAACUCAGAGCCUUUCGGGGUAGGGGGUGUACCUGGCUGCCUUCUAUCCCCAGUGACUAAAUGUAGUAAUAAGCUCUGAAAUACAGCAGGUACUUUAUAAACGCUUAUCAAAAGAUUGAACAAAAUUAAGGACAAACAUAGGGAAAAGUAUAUUUACUAGACUUCCAUGACCGAUAUUUACUUUGAAUCCAAUCUAGAAACAAGAGCAUGAUUUACAUUAGGCAACAUAUUUUGAAGAUUUUUACAACAGGGCAAUCACACAUGGGCUUGCUAGCUCGCAGCGUCCCAGGCAGGCCCCUCCUGGCCUCCAGGGGUUUUCAGAUGCUCCACGGGGAGGUGAAGACUGGACUCCAGGGCGCUCUCCUUCUCUUCAUGCACCAUGGAAUGUGUUUUCCCACAAAAACUGUGUUACCACAAGCCUGUGAACAAGUCUGGUAAGCAAAGGGCUAAACUGAAGACAGCAGCACAGCUGGAUUAUCAGCACACUGCAAAUACCUAGAAAGGGAAGGGAAAUAAAAGCCCAGGAGUUUCACAUGUGGAGUUUUCCAGCACGGAAGCCAUUCCAACAUCCUGGGAAGUCUGGCGUGACUGGGAGUCAGUGCGGAGUUGGAAUGUACAGUAAAGCAAAACUGACGCUGUUGGUAAAACACAACUUCUAGCAAAUCUAUGCAGACUUUCAUCAAAAGUACAAUGAACCUGGCUUUCACUUUACUGUUUCUUUCACACCUUAGAUUUCAAAGUCAAGUCUCAAGGAACUUUUCUUUCCAACGUGAGAAUUCAACCAACAUUAAAAUGGAAACACAAUGAAAACCAGAUGCUGCUUUGUAGAAAUCCAUUGUCAUGGAAUGCAACAUCCCCUAAAGUAAGAGAUUCACUUUAAGAAUUAAAAUGCUUGUUUCUGGCAAAG